rnacentral:rRNA from 1 species
UGCAGUCGAGCGGCAGCGCGGGGCAACCUGGCGGCGAGCGGCGGACGGGUGAKUAAAGSUWAGGAAUCUGCCCAUCAGUGGGGGACAACCCGGGGAAACUCGGGCUAAUACCGCAUACGUUCUGAGGAAGAAAGCAGGGGACCGCAAGGCCUUGCGCUGAUGGAUGAGCCUAAGUCGGAUUAGCUAGUUGGUGAGGUAAAGGCUCACCAAGGCUACGAUCCGUAGCUGGUCUGAGAGGACGACCAGCCACACCGGAACUGAGACACGGUCCGGACUCCUACGGGAGGCAGCAGUGGGGAAUAUUGGACAAUGGGGGAAACCCUGAUCCAGCGACGCCGCGUGGGUGAAGAAGGCCCGCGGGUUGUAAAGCCCUUUCGUUGGGAAAGAAGUAUGUCAACCUAAUACGUUGAUAUUUUGACGUUACCCAAAGAAGAAGCACCGGCUAACUCUGUGCCAGCAGCCGCGGUAAUACAGAGGGUGCGAGCGUUAAUCGGAAUUACUGGGCGUAAAGCGCACGUAGAUGGCUUCGUAAGUCGGAUGUGAAAUCCCCGGGCUCAACCUGGGAACUGCACUCGAAACUGCGUAGCUCGAAUGUGGAAGAGGGAAGUGGAAUUCCAGGUGUAGCGGUGAAAUGCGUAGAUAUCUGGAGGAACAUCAGUGGCGAAAGCGACUUCCUGGUCCAACAUUGACAUUCAGGUGCGAAAGCGUGGGGAGCAAACAGGAUUAGAUACCCUGGUAGUCCA